AUGUGUAAUAGGGAAGGAUUCAAGGCAAAAGAUAGUAAAGAGACUAAUGACCCCUUGAGGAAAAGGCGUAAGCAAACAGAUACGCGAUGCGGUUGUGAUGCACAUAUCUUUGUUAGACUUUGUGGGGAGAACACCUACAAGAUAGACUCACUGAUUGAGCACCAUGUUCAUGGCCUUGUAUCGCCUAAUAAGCGUCAUUUGAUCAGAUCAAAUCGUAGAGUUAGUGAGAGGGCAAAAAAUACUUUAUACACAUGUCAUAAGGCAACUAUUGGAACGUCGCAGGCAUACAGGCUCCUGCAAGUUAGUGAGGGUGGAAUUCCGAAUGCUGGGUGCACAAAGAGGGACUUGCAGAAUUACUACCGCGGACUCAGGUAUAAAAUCAGAGAUGCAGAUGCUCAAAUGUUUGUGGCCCAAUUAGCUAGAAAGCAGGAAGUGAAUUCAGCAUUUUUCUAUGAUUUUGAGGUGAAUGAUGAGGGGGAGUUGGUGCGUGUGUUCUGGGCGGAUGCCACCAGCAGGAAGAACUAUAGUCACUUUGGUGAUGUGAUAUCCUUCGAUUCUACAUACACCACUAAUCAGUAUAACAUGAUAUUUGCACCAUUUACAGGGGUUAAUCAUCACUUACAAAGUGUCUUUUUUGGUGCUGCAUUCUUAUCAAAUGAGAAGGAUGAGUCAUACAUUUGGUUAUUUCAGACCUUCCUAACAGCAAUGGGAGGGGCAGCACCUAGACUCAUCAUAACCGAUGAAGCCACUAGAAUCAAGAAUGGUAUUGAUAAAGUUCUUCCAACAACUGUGCAUAGGUUGUGCAUGUGGCAUAUAAUGGAAAAGGUUCCUGAAAAGGUUGGACCUUCGAUUAGAGAAGAUUCUGAUUUUUGGACAAGAUUGAACUCGUGUGUUUGGGGUUCGGAAACUUCAACUGAGUUUGAGUCACAAUGGAAUUCCAUCAUUACUGAUUUUGGGUUGGAGAAAAAUGAGUGGUUGGCCAAGAGGUUUAGCAUUCGAGACACAUGGAUACCAGCGUACUUUAUGGAUAUAUCUCUAGCAUGCAUUCUUCGAACCACUUCAAGAUCAGAAAGUGCAAAUUCUUUUUUUAACCGCUUCAUUCAUCGAAGGCUCGCUUUUGUUGAGUUUUGGCUGAGGUUUGACACAGCUUUAGAAUGCCAACGUGAGGAAGAAUUAAUGGCAGACAACAGAAGCAUACAUACCACCCCUCAACUAUUUACACCAUGGACAAUGGAGAAACAAGGUAGUGAGGUAUUCACAUAUGAGGUGUUCGAGAAACUUCAGCUACAGAUUAUUGCUGCUAGAGACCAUUGUUUUGUUCAGAGUAUUACACAAGGUGUGGGGGUAAAAAAUGUGACCCUGAGAGGUCGGUCUGGUAAAGUUAGGGAGGUUUGCUAUGACACUACAAGCAUGACAGCAAACUGUUCGUGCAAGUUGUUUGAGUCAGUCGGUUUUCCAUGUCGCCAUAUUAUCCAAGUGUUGAGGAUUGAAAACCAAAAUGAGCUUCCCAGCCACUACAUUAUGAAAAGAUGGCAGAAGAGGUGCAAAAGGUAA
rnacentral:rRNA from 1 species